rnacentral:tRNA from 1 species
GCUUUCCUGUGGCUCAGUCAGUAGAACAUUGAGCUAACAACACAAAGGUUGUGGGUUCAAACCCCAGUGCAAGCA